AUUGAACGCUGGCGGCAGGCUUAACACAUGCAAGUCGAACGGUUACAGGUCUUCGGAUGCUGACGAGUGGCGAACGGGUGAGUAAUACAUCGGAACGUGCCUAGUAGUGGGGGAUAACUACUCGAAAGAGUGGCUAAUACCGCAUGAGAUCUACGGAUGAAAGCAGGGGAUCGCAAGACCUUGUGCUACUAGAGCGGCCGAUGGCAGAUUAGGUAGUUGGUGGGAUAAAAGCUUACCAAGCCGACGAUCUGUAGCUGGUCUGAGAGGACGAUCAGCCCCACUGGGCCUGGGACACGGCCCAGACUCCUACGGGAGGCAUCAGUGGGGAAUUUUGGACAAUGGGCGCAAGCCUGUUCCAGCAAUGCCGCGUGCAGGAUGAAGGCCUUCGGGUUGUAAACGGCUUUUGUACGGAACGAAAAGCCCUGGGUUAAUACCCUGGGGUCAUGACGGUACCGUAAGAAUAAGCACCGGCUAACUACGUGCCAGCAGCCGCCAUAACAC
rnacentral:rRNA from 1 species